ACAUUCCUUGUCAGCAAACACAUACAACAUUCUCUAAACACACCCUCUCUACAACCCCUACACACACUACGUCACCUAUACACACACACUACAGCCCGUAUACACACACUCGCUACAUACCCUAUAACACUAUGCCCCCUAUACACACACUCUCUACAGCCCCUAGCCACACAUAUUACACCACAAACACAAAUGAAAUUGACCUAUUUACAAAAUACCACACUCUACACACACGCAAUCCCACAAGCAGGCUCCAAACACAUGCACCAUACACUUUCCUGGCCCUUUUGUCUUCUG